CGUGGCAACGUCGAAUAUUUUGGCCCACAUUCCUGCCGCUGUUUCAGAUCCACUUGCCAGACUAUACAACAUUGUUCAUUCUGUAAUUUAUGAAAAUAAAAUGGCAGAAGAAAACCCACAACAACCUAUGGAUCAGGAAGCCAGUAAGUAUUUAUAAUUUUUGUAAUAAUGCAUUGUGACUAUUAACAUAUUUUGGUAAAAUAAUAAAAAUAUAUUAUUAUGUAAGUAAAUAUAUAUUGGAUAGAAGAUGCUUAUUUUAAUUUGCACGAAAAUUUUGUAGCAAAACUGUUCAUUCGUCUGCUUUUAGGAAUACAAAGCGAAAGUUUUUUUUUUAAGUAUGCCAUAUUUAUUAAGAAAAAAUUGUUGUAAACUAAACAUAAAAAAGUUUUCGGAUAUUUAUAUUUAUUAUUAUUUCAUUUUUGCAUAGAUACGUCAUCGGGUAGUGUGCAGCCCCCUCCGCCCAAAAAUGACUUGCAGGCCUUACAAGGGCAAUUAGACCAUGUCCUACAGGGCAUAAACUAUAUGGCCGAGCGGCUAAAGUUUUUAGAAGAAAAACAAAAUGAAGCGUGUAAAGAGAGGGAGGAAGAAAAAAAAAGAAAAGAAGAGGAAGAGCGGAGGGAAAUUCAAAGGAGAGAGGAACAAAGAAUCCAGAGGGGCCGCGCCCGAAUAUUUAGGGGGCGCAUAGGGAGGGGGCCAUAUGAGGGCCCUUCCGAUAGAGAAGAAAGGGCUGAACCGAGAGGAGGGUG